CCAUAUUAGAUUGAAACACUGGUUCACAUAUGAUCACUGAAGUUAAGCAAUGUUGAGUCUGGUCAGUACUUAGAUGGGUGAUUGCUUUGGAAUACCAAGUACUGU